rnacentral:lncRNA from 1 species
GCACUUCAAUUUAAUUUCGAUCGAUCAUAUGUUUUCUUUGUGUAGUUUUUUCAGCCGCUGUAAUUCGAAUUGGUUAUAAACUUAAUAUUAAUUUGAAGUAGGAUAGAAAGUUUAAAUCGUGUAAAGUAAUUAUGCCGCAUAUAGGACAUAUCGCAGUUCUGUAACAUUUAUUUAGUGAAUAGUUCUAAUAAGUGCAUAUAAAGUGCACGUGCUUGCACUUUACAUCGAAAUUUUAUGUUUUCAUUAAAAAAAGUUACUUAAUUAACAUUUCUGUGCUUUGAGGCAUAGAAUAAUCUACCCGUCAAUAGGACAAGAAGGGUCCUAAAUCGUUCUUUUUUCAAAAAAAAUAAACGUUCAAAAGUUCGUGUGAGGUUGAUCAGUGCAUGCAUUUUGGUUAUUUUUCUGAAAAACUUUCCCAAAUAAAACGAAUGUUUUAGAUAAUGAAAUGGAAGUCUACAUGACUGGGAUGUAUUCAUUGAACAUGCAAAAUGGUCAGAAAAAGUGCAAUAUACAUGAAGAUGUGAUAAAUUCAGUGCAUCUAAAUUAUGUGGAUUAUAAAUUAAAAACGUGAGAAAUUAUUGUGAUGUGUGCUAGAUGAUUGUGUUUUGAAAAGUGCGUUUUGGAUGCAGUGCUAAUAGAUGGCGUUGUUGGAAUCAUUGCUGUUCAAGUGUUGAGCGCAUUCUGCUACUGCACAACAGGUGGCGCUGAUUGAACGGGUUCAUCAGCCGAUAGCCGAAUGAUAUCAUUAAAGGCGCCGUGACAUACCCACGGAAUACCAAAAUUAACCAUCUCCGUAUCAGCCAGAGCGUCACCAAUAUACUACCACUUUCAGCAAUGAUGCCGUGUGACGUCUGAUGCAGAACCAUCGGUCUACGAUCUUUGCUACAAAUAUUCAACUCCACUUGAACGUUAUCAGAACGAUUGGAAACUUGCAGUUCCCACUGAUCACUCAGUUCAUACUUCACAUAACAUCUCUUCGCGCUGUGACAGAUGUUUACUGCAAUUUCAUUUGUUCUCUGGACAGUUUUGUAGUGAAGGAUAUAGACGGGUGGAAGCGUCGCCAUUUCGUGUGAUACGACUCGCGCGGGAACAGUGAGGAUGAUCCUCUAGUCUUGUUCCUGUUGACUCGCAUAUCUGAAACAUUUUCCACUGUUUCCGUCCGAGCGUCUGUUGUUCACGCGUUUUAGUAUUAUUUUAGUUAAGGUUAUCUGUUUUGAAUAUUGACUAACAACCACUAAACUUUCUAACGCAUGACUCUUAUUUUUUACGAUAUCAACGCGAGUGUGCAUGACGAGUAAUUAUUAAUUUUAUAUAAUGUUUAUCUUUUAUUUUGUGCGGUUAGACUAGCUGCUGGCUGCUACACUGACAUGCCUUUGUCGAUUCGUUAAUGUAUUGUGUUUAUUUAAUUAUAUUGUAUUAUUAAGAAAUGUUUACUUCAACAAUUUAUUGUCUGAGAUCAAAUGUUUGUCGUGAGCCCUGCCUAUAGAACUAGAUUUUAGGUCUAUUUGAUUAUCCCCUAAAGUCGAGUUUUAGCCCUGCAUGGCAAUACCCAGAGUUGCAUUCUAAUUUUUUUAUCGUGAAAAAUUAUUGAUUAU